rnacentral:rRNA from 1 species
GAGCGGAUGACGGGAGCUUGCUCCUUGAUUCAGCGGCGGACGGGUGAGUAAUGCCUAGGAAUCUGCCUGGUAGUGGGGGACAACGUUUCGAAAGGAACGCUAAUACCGCAUACGUCCUACGGGAGAAAGCAGGGGACCCUUGGGCCUUGCGCUAUCAGAUGAGCCUAGGUCGGAUUAGCUAGUUGGUGGGGUAAUGGCUCACCAAGGCGACGAUCCGUAACUGGUCUGAGAGGAUGAUCAGUCACACUGGAACUGAGACACGGUCCAGACUCCUACGGGAGGCAGCAGUGGGGAAUAUUGGACAAUGGGCGAAAGCCUGAUCCAGCCAUGCCGCGUGUGUGAAGAAGGUCUUCGGAUUGUAAAGCACUUUAAGUUGGGAGGAAGGGCAGUAAGUUAAUACCUUGCUGUUUUGACGUUACCGACAGAAUAAGCACCGGCUAACUCUGUG